rnacentral:tRNA from 1 species
AGCAGUAGUACGAUUGCUUCCCAAGCAAUUGGCACGGGUGCAAGUCCCGUUACCCGCU